rnacentral:rRNA from 1 species
AAUAUUGGACAAUGGGCGAAAGCCUGAUCCAGCCAUGACGCGCGUGUGAAGAAGGUCCNCGGAUUNUNAAGCACUUUAAGUUGGGNGGAAGGGCAGUAAGUUAAUACCUCGCUGUUUUGACGUUACCGAAAUAAUAAGCACCGGCUAACUUCGUGCCAGCAGCCGCGGUACUACGAAGGGUGCAAGUGUUAAUCGGAAUUACUGGGCGUAAAGCGCGCGUAGGUGGUUUGUUAAGUUGGAUGUGAAAGCCCCGGGCUCAACCUGGGAACUGCUUUCAAAACUGGCAAGCUAGAGUAUGGCAGAGGGUGGUGGAAUUUCCUGUGUAGCGGUGAAAUGCGUAGAUAUAGGAAGGAACACCAGUGGCGAAGGCGACCACCUGGGCUAAUACUGACGCUGAGGUGCGAAAGCGUGGGGAGCAAAC